rnacentral:rRNA from 1 species
UACGGGGGGAGCAAGCGUUGUUCGGAUUUACUGGGCGUAAAGGGCGCGUAGGCGGCCACCGCAAGUCAGUUGUGAAAUCUCUGGGCUUAACCCAGAACGGUCAGCUGAUACUGCGGGGCUAGAGUGCAGAAGGGGCAACUGGAAUUCUCGGUGUAGCGGUGAAAUGCGUAGAUAUCGAGAGGAACACCUGCGGCGAAGGCGGGUGCUGGGCUGACACUGACGCUGACAGCGCGAAAGCUAGGGGAGCGAACGGGG